UGGGGUCUGUGGUCUUUUUUGUG
rnacentral:piRNA from 1 species